GACGAACGCUGGCGGCGUGCUUAACACAUGCAAGUCGAACGGAAAGGCCCUGCUUUUGUGGGGUGCUCGAGUGGCGAACGGGUGAGUAACACGUGAGUAACCUGCCCUUGACUUUGGGAUAACUUCAGGAAACUGGGGCUAAUACCGGAUAGGAGCUCCUGCUGCAUGGUGGGGGUUGGAAAGUUUCGGCGGUUGGGGAUGGACUCGCGGCUUAUCAGCUUGUUGGUGGGGUAGUGGCUUACCAAGGCUUUGACGGGUAGCCGGCCUGAGAGGGUGACCGGCCACAUUGAGACUGAGAUACGGCCCAGACUCCUACGGGGGGCAGCAGUGGGGAAUAUUGCACAAUGGGCGGAAGCCUGAUGCAGCAACGCCGCGUGCGGGAUGACGGCCUUCGGGUUGUAAACCGCUUUCGCCUGUGACGAAGCGUGAGUGACGGUAAUGGGUAAAGAAGCACCGGCUAACUACGUG
rnacentral:rRNA from 1 species